GUAUCAGAGGAAGUAUUUGCAAACAGGCCCAUCUGUUCAAAUGAGAACCAGGCUUCUCUCCCAAGCCUCACAAGGUCGCAAAGCCUGCGGUGUCAGAAGCUCUGCCGAAUCCUUUAUCAUGUGUCUUUCCAGCCAGCGGCUGAUGAGAGAUCGUGUGUGAGAGAUCAUGUUGAUUUGAAAUUCAGCUGGUCCAGAAGGGGCCGGUCCUCCCUGUUGGCCAUUUCAGGUCAGCUCCAUAAAGGAUGCAGAGGAUGGGUUUUCAUGAUGGAAACACACGGCUGAUAUUUGCAAAGCUAGUUCAUCCAGGAACAUGAGUACAGGCUGUUCCUGUCAUGUGGUCUGAAGAAGUCCAGAUGUGUUUGUGCAGGGUGCGGAGCCAGGCCCUCCCAGGAGCAGGGAUGAAAGAGCGGCGGCCGGAGCAGCUGUGGAAUAUGGACUUUGCCUCUUUGGCUCUUCUGCUUGCCCAGUGCUUUGAACAGUGCCUGGCACAAGGGCUACCAUUCCCAGGAGGGCUACAACUCUGUGCUAUGACCCUGGCUCCAGCCUGUAUGCUCUGAUCCCUUUGGAAGGGACAAGAUCAGCUACAUGACGCUAAAUGUUGGUGAUGCUUCAGGCAUUGAAGUAAAUAAUGAUGGAUGUAACUACAAAAUUGUUCUUGACAACAUUGUUUCUAAUACCUGAGAACCAGAUGCAAUCCAAAUAGCAAACACAAGAUGAAAUAAAAUAUAAAACAUCCAUAUAAUAAAACACCAUCAAUAUAAAUUUUGGUCAAUCUGUGAGGUUAAAAAAAUGAUAAUCCAAUUGUUGGUAUCCAUUUGCAUUUCUUUAAUCUUUUUGUUGGCUGUCUUUCUUUCAGUGUUGACUGCUUA
rnacentral:lncRNA from 1 species